rnacentral:rRNA from 1 species
GACGAACGCUGGCGGCGUGCUUAACACAUGCAAGUCGAACGGAAAGGCCUCUUUCGGGGGGUACUCGAGUGGCGAACGGGUGAGUAACACGUGAGUAACCUGCCCUUGACUUUGGGAUAACUUCAGGAAACUGGGGCUAAUACCGGAUAGGAGCUCCUGCUGCAUGGUGGGGGUUGGACAGUUUCGGCGGUUGGGGAUGGACUCGCGGCGUAUCAGCGUGUUUGUGGGGUAUUGGCUUACCAAGGCUUUGACGGGUAGCCGGCCUGAGAGGGUGACCGGCAACAAUGGGACUGAGAGACGGCCCAGAAUCCUACGGGAGGGAGAAGGGGGGAAAAAUGAACAAGGGGUGGAAGCCGGAUGCAGAAACGCCGUGAGCGGGAGGACGGCCUUAGGGUUGAAAACCGCGUUCGCUCAUGACGAAGCUUUGUGUGACGGUAGUGGGUAAAGAAGCACCGGCUAACUACGUG